AGUGAACGCUGGCGGCAGGCCUAAUACAUGCAAGUCGAACGGCAGCACAGUGGAGCUUGCUCCAUGGGUGGCGAGUGGCGGACGGGUGAGGAAUACAUGGGAAUCUGCCCAGUCGUGGGGGAUAACGUAGGGAAACUUACGCUAAUACCGCAUGCGCCCUUCGGGGGAAAGCCGGGGACCUUCGGGCCUGGCGCGAUUGGAUGAGCCCAUGUUCGAUUAGCUAGUUGGCGGGGUAAAGGCCCACCAAGGCGACGAUCGAUAGCUGGUCUGAGAGGAUGAUCAGCCACACUGGGACUGAGACACGGCCCAGACUCCUACGGGAGGCAGCAGUAGGGAAUAUUGGACAAUGGGCGCAAGCCUGAUCGAGCCAUGCCGCGUGAGUGAAGAAGGUCCUCGGAUUGUAAAGCUCUGUUGUCUGGGAAGAAAAGCAUCGGGCUAAUACCUCGGUGUUCUGACGGUACCGGAAGAAUAAGCACCGGCUAACUUCGUG
rnacentral:rRNA from 1 species